CCUACGGGAGGCAGCAGUGAGGAAUAUUGGUCAAUGGACGAGAGUCUGAACCAGCCAAGUAGCGUGAAGGAUGACUGCCCUAUGGGUUGUAAACUUCUUUUAUAUGGGAAUAAAAUGUUCCACGUGUGGGAUUUUGUAUGUACCAUAUGAAUAAGGAUCGGCUAACUCCGUGCCAGCAGCCGCGGUAAUACGGAGGAUCCGAGCGUUAUCCGGAUUUAUUGGGUUUAAAGGGAGCGUAGGUGGAUUGUUAAGUCAGUUGUGAAAGUUUGCGGCUCAACCGUAAAAUUGCAGUUGAAACUGGCAGUCUUGAGUAUAGUAGAGGUGGGCGGAAUGCGUGGUGUAGCGGUGAAAUGCUUAGAUAUCACGAAGAACUCCGAUUGCGAAGGCAGUUCACUGGACUGCAACUGACACUGAGGCUCGAAAGUGUGGGUAUCAAACAGGAUUAGAUACCCCUGUAGUC
rnacentral:rRNA from 1 species